rnacentral:rRNA from 1 species
GACGAACGCUGGCGGCGUGCUUAACACAUGCAAGUCGAACGGCAAGGCCCUUCUUUUGUGGGGUGCUCGAGUGGCGAACGGGUGAGUAACACGUGAGUAACCUUCCCUUGACUUUGGGAUAACUUCAGGAAACUGGGGCUAAUACCGGAUAGGAGCUCCUGCUGCAUGGUGGGGGUUGGAAAGUUUCGGCGGUUGGGGUUGGACUCGCGGCUUAUCAGCUUGUUGGUGGGGUAGUGGCUUACCAAGGCUUUGACGGGUAGCCGGCCUGAGAGGGUGACCGGCCACAUUGGGACUGAGAGACGGCCCAGACUCCUACAGGAGGCAGCAGUGGGGAAUAUUGCACAAUGGGCGGAAGCCUGAUGCAGCAACGCCGCGUGCGGGAUGAAGGCCUUCGGGUUGUAAACCGCUUUCGCCUGUGACGAAGCGUGAGUGACGGUAAUGGGUAAAGAAGCACCGGCUAACUACGUG